GAUGAACGCUGGCGGCGUGCCUAGUACAUGCAAGUCGAGCGAACGGACGAGAAGCUUGCUUCUCUGAUGUUAGCGGCGGACGGGUGAGUAACACGUGGAUAACCUACCUAUAAGACUGGGAUAACUUCGGGAAACCGGAGCUAAUACCGGAUAAUAUUUUGAACCGCAUGGUUCAAAAGUAAAAGACGGUCUUGCUGUCACUUAUGGAUGGAUCCGCGCUGCAUUAGCUAGUUGGUAAGGUAACGGCUUACCAAGGCAACGAUGCAUAGCCGACCUGAGAGGGUGAUCGGCCACACUGGAACUGAGACACGGUCCAGACUCCUACGGGAGGCAGCAGUAGGGAAUCUUCCGCAAUGGGCGAAAGCCUGACGGAGCAACGCCGCGUGAGUGAUGAAGGUCUUCGGAUCGUAAAACUCUGUUAUUAGGGAAGAACAUAUGUGUAAGUAACUGUGCACAUCUUGACGGUACCUAAUCAGAAAGCCACGGCUAACUACGUG
rnacentral:rRNA from 1 species